rnacentral:lncRNA from 1 species
CUAGCGCAUAACUGCGCUUAAUCUGCGCAUAAGCAUGUGCUUUGGUCAGAAAAGAUGCGCUUUGGUCAGAAAAGCGCAAGGCAGUGGCAAAACGCACAAUUAACGCCUAGCGCUUUUUUUGAACUAAUAAAAGUACUUACCACGCCACAUUCUUCCAGUUCCGGCAAGUUACAUCAUCUUUCUUUCAGAAGAAAAGUGGAAACUAACCUAACCGAAUCCAAAAUCUGGAUACAUUGUAUGACAAAAACUGGCACGUUUCCUACUAAAGAAGGCCAAUUCCAAAGCACAAACUAUACCUACCAAAACCUAGACACUAGAUUCAAAAUCCAACGCCUAAACUCGAAACCUGUACCAAAGGGGCUAUGCGCCAGGUCUCACAAGUCUCGCAUCAGGUAGACACUAUCUCGCCGCGAAUUACACCUAAACCCUAGCACCCCUCGCUCCGACCAAAAUCAGAGGCCCAAACUCGGGAAACCCCGACUCCAAACGACCAACAAAAAUCACCCAGAGGGAAUCACCACCCGCUACGUAAUAUAAUUUCAAACGGCCAGCGGCCAGAUCCGGCGAGGCGAGCGAUUCGAACGUCGGGUAC